CGAGUGAGUUUCAUCUAAUCUAUUGAUAACCUGUAUAGAACAAAAAACUGAGCAAGAGAUAACGUUGCCUGCCUGCCUGCCUACUUGAGACAUUAGUCUUCUGCCUUCAGAUUGGAAUUUAUAUUAAUACCAUCUACUCCUUGGUUCUCAGUCCUUCUGACAUGAACUGGAACAACACCAUCAGCUCUCCCGGAUCUCCAGCUUGCAGACAGCAGAUCAUGGGACUUUUCAGCUUCUGUAAUUGUGAGGUGGUUGAGAACCAUUGACGUAGACUGACUUAGCAGAUCUUCAAAUGUGAAUAGGGAAUCCUGCCAUUCCACUGAUGAGAACAGCAUGCUUAGGAUAUUGCUUCUGAGAAGAGAGGCAUCCUGUUGUAUGUAGUGGCCACAUAACAGACUGCAAAGAACUGGAACGCAGAGUAAUUUUAAUCCAAAAUGUUCAAAGGAUGAACAAAACUGCAAUAAAGCAGAGUAAGUAAACACAAAGAGUGGCCAAGAUGGCCAACUAAAAGCAGAUAGGAUGCGUGGCUCUCACAGAGAGGAAAGGAAGGAAGGGGCAAGUAAAUACAGCACUGCCAACUGACACAUCCAGACAGUCAACACUGGGACUAAUCAAGGAAACAACUCGACCCACAGAGAAUGGAGAAGAGCAAGGCAGGACGACGGCCCAUCUGGGAGCAGAAUGUGGAGCCAAGGGAACCUCCCUUGCCAAGGACCAAGACAAGUGGCAAGCCAUAUGAUGACUGACCAGAAACAUUAGAAAGAAUGGAAGAUGGUUUCCUGAAGCUUCGCUACUCUGGAGGUGGAAUGAAUUGUGCCAAAUGUCAACUUCUAUGGCUCAAUGAGCCCUUUCCUGAGCCUGUCAACAGUGAACUAAAGAAAUACAAUCUCUGUUUCUCCAGUCAACGGUAGAACAGUGCUUGCACUCCCGAUAUUUAUGGAUAUAUUUAUACAAUUCUCACAAACCUGACACCAAUGGCCUGGGAUCAAUGUAGACAAGUGGUAAAGAAAAACAGAAUGAUUCUCUGAAAGGAUGCAUAUUAAAAAAAAUAAAAGAUUUGUGUUCUGAAUGGCUUGUUUUGAGAAAAAGAUAUGCUUCAACUGAGAUCUACAUGAUGUAGCAAAUAAAAACAGGCACAUGUCAGCCUUCUUGUGCUUAAAAACACUAGACAGCACUUCAGGACUAUAGUUGGGGGCCAUUUUAAACAGCAAAAUCAAAGGACAAAAGUGCAAAAAAUGUGGCAAUCAAUAGACCAUGAAGAAAGAUGCUUGUUUACAAGAAGAGCUGAAACAAAGUGGCAGAACAUCACCUGGUUCCACCUCAGCUGGGAGUGUGUAUGUUGGAUGAC
rnacentral:lncRNA from 1 species